rnacentral:rRNA from 1 species
CGGACGGGUGAGUAACACGUGGGUAACUUACCUAUAAGACUGGGACAACUUCGGGAAACCGGAGCUAAUACCGGAUAAGAUAUCGAACCGCAUGGUUCGAUAGUGAAAGAUGGUUUUGCUAUCACUUAUAGAUGGACCCGCGCCGUAUUAGCUAGUUGGUGAGGUAAUGGCUCACCAAGGCAACGAUACGUAGCCGACCUGAGAGGGUGAUCGGCCACACUGGAACUGAGACACGGUCCAG